ACGCUCGACACCUACGGGAGGUAGCAGUGGGGAAUAUUGCACAAUGGGGGAAACCCUGAUGCAGCGAUGCCGCGUGAAGGAAGAAGUAUCUCGGUAUGUAAACUUCUAUCAGCAGGGAAGAAAAUGACGGUACCUGACUAAGAAGCCCCGGCUAACUACGUGCCAGCAGCUGCGGUAAUCUGAGCGGGCUGGCAAGGC
rnacentral:rRNA from 1 species